rnacentral:rRNA from 1 species
GAUGAACGCUGGCGGCGUGCCUAAUACAUGCAAGUCGAGCGAACGGACGAGAAGCUUGCCUCUCUGAUGUUAGCGGCGGACGGGUGAGUAACACGUGGAUAACCUACCUAUAAGACUGGGAUAACUUCGGGAAACCGGAGCUAAUACCGGAUAAUAUUUUGAACCGCAUGGUUCAAAGGUGAAAGACGGUCUUGCUGUCACUUAUAGAUGGAUCCGCGCUGCAUUAGCUAGUUGGUAAGGUAACGGCUUACCAAGGCAACGAUGCAUAGCCGACCUGAGAGGGUGAUCGGCCACACUGGAACUGAGACACGGUCCAGACUCCUACGGGAGGCAGCAGUAGGGAAUCUUCCGCAAUGGGCGAAAGCCUGACGGAGCAACGCCGCGUGAGUGAUGAAGGUCUUCGGAUCGUAAAACUCUGUUAUUAGGGAAGAACAUAUGUGUAAGUAACUGUGCACAUCUUGACGGUACCUAAUCAGAAAGCCACGGCUAACUACGUG